UCGAGGGAUCUGUAAAGCUCAGGAGGGAUAGCGCCAUGAAAAAUAAUAUGAUGUUUUCUUUUUAAUUAUUUUAUUGGUACAUAAAUUCAUCUUUUUAAUUGUUAUUAUUUUCGGUAUAAUAAAUUCAUCAAUUAUAUUUGGCGCUAUCCAUCCUGAGUUCUACGGCUCUUUCAU
rnacentral:pre_miRNA from 1 species